rnacentral:rRNA from 1 species
AUGGAGGAGGCUGGUGGUGCUGCAUCCCCCGAGAGGUUGAGGUUCGACCCGUAUGAGGGGUAUGGGAUCAAGAAGCAGAUGAUGGUGAAGAUGGACCAGCGAAACAGCUACAUCAAGUGGCUGCUCGAGUGGGACAAGAAGCCCCGCCCUCCCCUGCCCAACCUGCCCGAGGAGUCCCGCGAGGCCAUGGACACCAUCAAGGCCGAGCGUGACCACCACGAGAGGGUCCUCGCCGACUUCAAGCGCGACGGCCACGCCUACGUCCAGAUCGAUGUCUUCAACGACGACGACCCAAGGACCAAACUCCCCGACGACCAGUACGACAUCCUCCACUAUGACAGCGACGAAGAAGCUUGA